CCUGCACACAUGUCUGUUUUAAACCGCACCUUUCACUAAAUAGGCAGUAAUAACCCUGCUUCGUAUAACAAACGGCCGCAUUUAUUUGUGUUUGAACCUGCCGCACUUUAGAGGACCAUUUCUACUGUUUCACGAAGUAUGUAGAUUUAAAACAAAAGGAUACAAAUUCACAGAAAGUGCGUAACUCCGGUCUCCGCCCACUGGGAAGCGACUAUAAAACACGGGUGGCUCACUGGAAGGGCAAUCCUGCUUCAGAAGAAAAGCAGUAGCCGACGGCCUGAGUCUGGUAUUCUGCAACUGAAGCACAAAUCUCCUUUUCAUUAACAGAAUGAAGAUCCUGGCCGUGUUUUGGCUUUUUGGGAUCUGCCUUGCUCAUGUAUGUGAAAGGCCUUUCAAUGGAAUCAAUAUUGCCAGACAAGGCAUUGCAGAACAGUCCUCUCGCAAUUUUGACGAUUGGAGAUGCAUACCUUGCAAUAGAUGGGGGAAACAAAUGGCAUUUUUGGUAAAGGAACCUGCUCUCACACUGGAAGUGACUCUCCAUCCUGGUGGAAAGUGAAUCUGAAGGCCACUUAUGCCGUCACUGUGGUGGUGGUCUACAAUAGACAGGACUGCUGUGACUCGAGGUUGAGGGGGGCUGAAGUUCGUGUCGGUGCCUCACCUGAUAUCUCAAAGCAUGUCAAGUAAG